rnacentral:rRNA from 1 species
AACGAACGUUAGCGGCGCGCCUAACACAUGCAAGUCGCACGAGAAAGGGCUUCGGCCCCAGUAAAGUGGCGCACGGGUGAGUAACACGUGGGUAAUCUGCCCUCGAGCAGGGGAUAACAUUCCGAAAGGAGUGCUAAUACCGUAUAAGACCACGACCUCGAAAGAGGAUGCGGUCAAAGCGGGCCUCUAUACAUAAGCUAGCACUUGAGGAUGAGCACGCGGCGCAUCAGGUAGUUGGAGAGGUAAUGGCUCACCAAGCCUAAGACGCGUAGCUGGUCUGAGAGGAUGAUCAGCCACACUGGAACUGAGACACGGUCCAGACUCCUACGGGAGGCAGCAGUGGGGAAUCUUGCGCAAUGGGCGAAAGCCUGACGCAGCGACGCCGCGUGAGUGAUGAAGGCCUUCGGGUUGUAAAGCUCUGUGGGGAGAAACGAAUAAGUGCAGCCUAAUACGUUGCAUGAUGACGGUAUCUCCUUAGCAAGCACCGGCUAACUCUGUGCCAGCCGCCGCGGUAAAAC